AGGCAUCCUUCAGAGAGGCUGAGGACAAACACACUGACAAGCAGCCUCCAGUGGUCAGCUCCCAACCUCCUGACGACCUGACCUCAGCACCGUGGCAGGAGAUGAUGAAUGACCUUGACCUGCGACCCCAUGACCCCGCUGGACCUCUAGGAGUGUACAACGUGCGGUGGGCGGUGCGGAGGGCGGGGCUGCGGGUGGGCGGGUGCGGCGGGUCCCCUUCCUGGCGGUGAGGGUGAAGAGUGUGGAAACGAGAGAGUCUUGCCCUACAGUGGUGCUCAGGGAUUGGACGGGUGAGAUCCCAGCAACAGUCACCCCUGCAGUUUUAGAAGAGUUUGGCCACACUCUCACACCAGGCGCCGUUCUCGUACUUCGCGGCGUGACCCUGCUUUCCCCGGGGGCCAGAAGCGACCGGGGGGGGCUGAGGGGGCAGCGGCACUACCUGAACAUCACCCCAGCUACUAUCAUCGCCAUCUACACCCCUGACGAGGACGGGAAUGUGACGAAAACGAAGCUACAGUCAUUCCGUCGUUCAGAAGUCGAGCUGGGGAGUGUGGAUGUGUGUGUCCUCAGUGCUGUUAUAGAGGAGGUGGAGGACAGUGCUGGGGUGGCAGGGGUGUCACAGGGGAUGUCCAGGGGUGGAGGGGCAGUCUCUUCUCUCACACUGGGGGAAAUCUGAGUGUGUCAUCACCUAUGUCAUUUUCUAAGAGUGUUUCUGGGUCAGGGGUGCAUAGGGG